rnacentral:rRNA from 1 species
UACAGAGGUCCCAAGCGUUGUUCGGAUUCAUUGGGCGUAAAGGGUGCGUAGGCGGCGCGGUAAGUCGGGUGUGAAAUCUCGGAGCUUAACUCCGAAACUGCAUUCGAUACUGCCGUGCUUGAGGACUGGAGAGGAGACUGGAAUUUACGGUGUAGCGGUGAAAUGCGUAGAUAUCGUAAGGAAGACCAGUGGCGAAGGCGGGUCUCUAGACGAGUUCCUGACGCUGAGGCACGAAGGCCAGGGGAGCAAACGGG